ACGGAUAAAAGAGACCCUGGGGAUAACAGGCUUAUCUCCCCCAAGAGGCCACAUCGACGGGGAGGUUUGGAACCUCGAUGUCGGCUGAUCACAGCCUGGGGCUGUAGAAGGUCCCAAGGGUUGGGCUGUUCGCCCAUUAAAGUGGUACGCGAGCUGGGUUCAGAACGUCGUGAGACAGUUCGGUCCCUAGCCGUCGCAGGCGUAGGAAAUUUGAGAAGACCUGUCCUUAGUACGAGAGGACCGGGAUGGACGUACCUCUGGUGUACCAGUUGUCCUGCCAAGGGCAUGGCUGGGUAGCUAUGUACGGAAUGGAUAAGCGCUGAAAGCAUCUAAG
rnacentral:rRNA from 1 species